GACGAACGCUGGCGGCGUGCCUAACACAUGCAAGUCGAACGGGGUAGAGAGCUUCGGUUUUCUACUUAGUGGCGAACGGGUGAGUAACGCGUGAGGAACCUGCCUUCCAGUGGGGGACAACAGUUGGAAACGACUGCUAAUACCGCAUAAUGUAGCGAGACCGCAUGAUCUUGCUACCAAAGCUUUAUGUGCUGGAAGAUGGCCUCGCGUCUGAUUAGCUAGUUGGUGAGGUAACGGCUCACCAAGGCGACGAUCAGUAGCCGGUCUGAGAGGAUGAACGGCCACAUUGGGACUGAGAUACGGCCCAGACUCCUACGGGAGGCAGCAGUGGGGAAUAUUGGGCAAUGGGGGAAACCCUGACCCAGCAACGCCGCGUGAAGGAAGAAGGCCUUCGGGUUGUAAACUUCUUUUACCAGGGACGAAGAACGUGACGGUACCUGGAGAAAAAGCAACGGCUAACUACGUGCCAGCCGCCGCAGUAACAC
rnacentral:rRNA from 1 species